rnacentral:rRNA from 1 species
CCUACGGGAGGCUGCAGUAGGGAAUAUUGCUCAAUGGGGGAAACCCUGAAGCAGCAACGCCGCGUGGAGGAUGAAGGUUUUCGGAUUGUAAACUCCUUUUGUUAGAGAAGAUAAUGACGGUAUCUAACGAAUAAGCACCGGCUAACUCCGGGCCAGCAGCCGCGGUAAUACGGAGGGUUCAAGCGUUACUCGGAAUAACUGGGCGUAAAGCGCGCGGAGGCGGGAUAGCAAGUCAGAUGUGAAAUCCUAUGGCUUAACCAUAGAACUGCAUUUGAAACUGGUAUUCUAGAGUAUGGGAGAGGUAGGUGGAAUUCUUGGUGUAGGGGUAAAAUCCGUAGAGAUCAAGAGGAAUACUCAUUGCGAAGGCGACCUGCUAGAACAUAACUGACGCUGAUGCGCGAAAGCGUGGGGAGCAAACAGGAUUAGAUACCCGUGUAGUC